CUCUGGAAGGCUAACCGAUAAGAACCCUCAACCUAUGAUAUGAAGAUGAGAAGUGCACAUGAUGCCACUUACGAGAUAAGUAGUGCACAUGCUACCUCUCAUGUGAAGACGAGAAGUACACACGCUAUCUACGGAUACAUGCUGCCUCUCCUGUGAAGACGAAAAAUGCAUACACUGCCUAUGGGUACAUGCUGCCUCUCGCAUGA
rnacentral:lncRNA from 1 species